rnacentral:lncRNA from 13 species
GCUGCUUCAAAGCUGUAGCAUUAAGAGCUGUGCUGUAGUGCCGUGAUCUUUCUUGUCUCUGCCAGAAAACUCAGAAUGAGGACUCGAAAUGAGCCAUCCCCUCUACUUGGUUUCAUGGAAAAAGACUACAGUUCACCCCUGAGGGACACAGUGGUCACAAAAUUGCUUGAGCCCCAUGAAACCUGGAUCCGCUUCAAGAGUCAAUAAAGCUCUAGUGUCUAACGAAAUGAAUGGAUGAAUGAGUAAGGAAGACGCCAGGUUUUCACAAAUUGAACGUAUAAAAACUGUUUUGCUAUAAGAAAGCACAGCUGGUAAUGAUAAAGAACUUUAAUGAACAGAUCCAUUUGGAAAAGGUAAACAUGUUGCAUUUCACAAAUCUGAGAAUGUUGUGUUCAUAUUUGAUAUGUACUAAAUAUUUUGCCAAUCAUCGAUGAACUGAUGCAAGUUAUUCCCAUAUGAACAAUUUAAUUAAUAUGAGCUAACAUCUAUAAAUCUUCAUGUUAGGUAUCAGGUCCUGUUCUAAGUGCUUUACAUGUAUUGGCUAAUUUAUGUCACUGAAACUAAUCAAGAAAAUACUACUUGCUGUUCAUUUUGGAGGUAAGAAAACUGAGGCUUAGAGAGUUUAACUACCAUAUCCAUGGUCACACACUGCUAGGUUUUGAAUCCGAGAUAUAUGAUGCAAAGUUAGUCAUAUUAACCACCUCUCUAUAAG